GGGGAUUUAGCUCAGUGGUAGAGCGCUUGCCUAGCAAGCAUAAGGCCCUGGGUUCGGUCCCCAGCUCCG
rfam:Rattus norvegicus chromosome 14, whole genome shotgun sequence.